UGAUGUGAGGGCGAUCUGGCUGUGCCAUUGUCACCCUAUUGAUCACCAGGGUUAAUUCGGCUGAUUUGACUGGCUAGGUGGGCAUCCCCUUCCUCCCUCACCACUCCAUGUGUGUCCCUCCCAAAGCUGUGUCCUCUGUGUAAGAUGACAGCCUUUCUGGAUAGAGGUGGACCCUCUUUGGUGAAGGGUAUAUGAAUAGCUGCACUCUUCUGCUAUAACUUCUAAACAGCUCUCAAAGUGUGAAUUUGGAUUUGUAUAGCACUUUGGGAAACUCCAUGGAAACUUGUAUGGUGAUGC
rnacentral:snRNA from 1 species